rnacentral:tRNA from 4 species
GGCCACUUAGCUCAGCUGGUAGAGCAUCCCGUUUACAUCGGGGCGGUCAGGGGUUCAAAUCCCUUAGUGGCCA